UCUGAUCCAUGAUGACCUCUAGGAAAGGCAGACUGCUGGAUGAAGCCUGCGGAUAUGGGGCUGAGAUCAGAC
ensembl:snoRNA